rnacentral:rRNA from 1 species
UACGUAGGGGGCAAGCGUUGUCCGGAUUUAUUGGGCGUAAAGAGCGUGUAGGCGGCUGGGUAGGUCCGUUGUGAAAACUCGAGGCUCAACCUCGAGACGCCGAUGGAAACCCUCCAGCUAGAGUCCGGAAGAGGAGAGUGGAAUUCCUGGUGUAGCGGUGAAAUGCGCAGAUAUCAGGAAGAACACCCGUGGCUAAGGCGGCUCUCUAGUACGGUACUGACGCUGAGGCACGAAAGCUGGGGGAGCGAACAGG